rnacentral:tRNA from 1 species
GUUGCUAGCGGUGGAUUAGCAUUGGUCUGGGAGCCGACUAGUUCCGGGUUCGAAUCCCGGGCAACCCA